AUUUUGCCCCUCCCUGAGAUCACCACUACAAUCAUGAUGUCACAUCCUGUAUUAACAACUGAAAUUUGAAUAAUCACUGAAGAUUAUAAUAUAACUCAUAUUGGUGCUCAAAUGAACUGCACACACAAAAAGGUUUCACAAUGACUCAGAUGUACUGGUAUGGACAACGGCGCGGACAAACUAUGACUCUUAUUGUGUUCACAAGUUCUGUGAGCGAUCCAGACUAUGGAUGGAGAUUCUGAUCCAGUCAAAUUCACAGCCAACAAACCAGUUCCCGAGAGAAGAAGUUCACAAUGAAGUGAACUUUACCAAGAGUUCAUCAAAAACAGCUGCCGCUAAUAAUGACAGUGAUCAACAGGGGGCGAUGUGAUCCCACAAAUCUGCAGCUUGUUCAUAUUAAUAUAUAUCCUGUGUUAUCCUCUCAAGAACAGGAUUCAAUGCACUCAUAGCCAUUGCUAAACAUGAUCAUUGUUCUGCUAAUCCUGUCACUGUGUUGGAGUCAAUGUGCUUCAAGUGGAGAUGGUGUUUCACAGCCUGGCAGUGUUUGGACCCUCGAGGGGAAAUCUGCUCAGAUGAACUGCUCACACAACAAGGGUCGUGACUAUAAUCAGAUGUACUGGUACCAGCAGCAAAAAGGAGAGAGUUUGAGGCUCAUCGUGUUCACAACAAGCUAUGGGGAUCCAGACUAUGGAGAUUCUGACCAAACUAAAUUUGAAGCUCAUAAAAGCGUUCCUGAAAGCGGAUCUCUCACUGUGAAGAACACACAGCCAGAUGAUAGUGCCAUAUAUUUCUGUUCAGUGAGCAAACACAGUGUGUCAAACACUGAAGGCAGAUGUACAAAAACACCUUACACAGAUCAGAUCAAUAUACCAUCCAGAAGGGGGCGCUCUGGUACAGUUCAACACACAAUGUCUUAUGGAGUGAUUCCUGUCCAUUUAAUAUACUAGUAUAUACUACUCACGCUAUGUGCACCAAACUGUAUCUCUCUAUGGCAGAAAUAACAAGAGUAUGUGGAUCUGAAUUCAGAAAUGCAUAGAGAAAACA